rnacentral:rRNA from 1 species
UACGGAGGGUGCGAGCGUUGUCCGGAAUCACUGGGCGUAAAGGGCGCGUAGGCGGCGCGGAUAGUCGGCGGUGAAAGCCCGGAGCUCAACUCCGGGUCGGCCGUCGAUACUUCCGGGCUUGAGCACUGUAGAGGCAGAUGGAAUUCCGGGUGUAGCGGUGGAAUGCGUAGAGAUCCGGAAGAACACCGGUGGCGAAGGCGGUCUGCUGGGCAGUUGCUGACGCUGGAGACGCGAAAGCGUGGGGAGCAAACAGG